AGAGUUUGAUCAUGGCUCAGGAUGAACGCUGGCGGCGUGCCUAACACAUGCAAGUCGAGCGAUUACUUCGGUAAAGAGCGGCGGACGGGUGAGUAACGCGUGGGUAACCUGCCUCAUACACAUGGAUAACAUACCGAAAGGUAUGCUAAUACAGGAUAAUAUAAGAGAUUCACAUGGAUUUCUUAUCAAAGCUCCGGCGGUAUGAGAUGGACCCGCGUCUGAUUAGCUAGUUGGUAAGGUAAUGGCUUACCAAGGCGACGAUCAGUAGCCGACCUGAGAGGGUGAUCGGCCACAUUGGAACUGAGACACGGUCCAAACUCCUACGGGAGGCAGCAGUGGGGAAUAUUGCACAAUGGGCGAAAGCCUGAUGCAGCAACGCCGCGUGAGUGAUGAAGGCCUUCGGGUCGUAAAACUCUGUCCUCAAGGAAGAUAAUGACGGUACUUGAGGAGGAAGCCCCGGCUAACUACGUGCCAGCCGCAGC
rnacentral:rRNA from 1 species